rnacentral:rRNA from 1 species
UACGUAGGGUGCGAGCGUUGUCCGGAAUUAUUGGGCGUAAAGAGCUCGUAGGCGGUGUGUCGCGUCGGCCGUGAAAACCUGGGGCUCAACCCCGGGCCUGCAGCCGAUACGGGCAAACUAGAGUACUGCAGGGGAGACUGGAAUUCCUGGUGUAGCGGUGAAAUGCGCAGAUAUCAGGAGGAACACCGGUGGCGAAGGCGGCUCUCUGGACCGUAACUGACGCUGAGGCGCGAAAAGCGUGGGGGAGCAAACAGG